AGAACGAACGCUGGCGGCAUGCCUAAUACAUGCAAGUCGAACGAACUCUUCGGAGUUAGUGGCGCACGGGUGCGUAACGCGUGGGAAUCUGCCCCUUGGUUCGGAAUAACAGUUGGAAACGACUGCUAAUACCGGAUGAUGACGAAAGUCCAAAGAUUUAUCGCCAAGGGAUGAGCCCGCGUAGGAUUAGCUAGUUGGUGAGGUAAAGGCUCACCAAGGCAACGAUCCUUAGCUGGUCUGAGAGGAUGAUCAGCCACACUGGGACUGAGACGCGGCCCAGACUCCUACGGGAGCAGCAGUAGGGAAUAUUGGACAAUGGGCGAAAGCCUGAUCCAGCAAUGCCGCGUGAGUGAUGAAGGUCCUUAGGUUGUAAGCUCUUUUACCGAGUAUGAUAAUGACAGUAUCGGAG
rnacentral:rRNA from 1 species